AUGUCCGAUGUAGUGAAGUUGAGAUUUUACUAUGGUCCUGGUACUGUCCAAACAAAUGAGUUGGGAGCAGAUCUGAGUGAAUUUACUCACAUAGAGGUGGCAAUCAGCGCACCACAAACAUGGUCUGUUAGUCAGUUGAAAGAAUGGAUUGCGGCAAGUUUAGGUCUUGAUACUGAAACACACACCGUCGGUGUUCAUGCAUUGUGGACACGGUCAAGUUCAAAAAUUUACUUUUAUUUGAGGCCAAUAGAGGGAGACUCCGAUUGGGUGCGGUGGUUACAAGGUUGUGAACGAAGGGGAUGCAAUCCUGUUGCUUUAGUGCUUCCCGUCGUGAAGGAGGUCACUGCACAUGAAGGGGAGGGUGGCUACGAAGGACAGAGCAGCCAUGUAGAAGGAGGAAAUGCUUAUGGUUACGAACAAGGACAGAGCAGUCGGGUAGAAGGAGGAAAUGCUUAUGGUUAUGAACCAGGGCAGAGUAGUCAGGUAGAAGGAGGAAAUGCCGAAGGUGAUUACAAUGGCGAGGUGGACGCUGACGAGGUAGAUGGGCACAUGCAGAACCAGAUGGAAAAAGAAGACACCGAUGUUGAAAGGGGUCAUGCCGAUGAUUCUGACGAGUCAGAUGAAGAAGAAAAUGCAGAGGAGGUCCCGAAUCCUGCAUGGUGGAAUCAUGACUUAUCAUCUGCAAUGACCGUGAAUGAUGGACAUGAUUCAGCCUGGCAAUAUCACCAGAACAAUAUUGCGACGGGUGCUAUGUAUCCGAACAAGCAAGCCCUGAAGGAUGCAAUAAUUAAUUAG
rnacentral:rRNA from 1 species